CACAGCAAAGAAAUUACAGCGGCGAUUCAGGAGGCAGUUCGAAGUAGAGAUCUUCGGCAGCAGUUCGAAGAAGGCAAAUCCGGCGGAACAAUAAGCUCAUGGAGAUUCUCUCUGGUCCUUCCUCCGAUUAGCUUCCGUCUUUUCUCUGGUAUUCUGAAGGCAGUUCGAAGAAGCGAUCUCCGGCAGCAGUUCGGAGAAGCCAAAUCCGCCGGAACAAUAAGCUCAUGGAGAUUCUCUCUGGUCCUUCCUCCAAUUAGCUUCCGUCUUUUCUCAGCAAGGAGACAUUACCAGGUGGGAUCUCUGUCAAUAAGAAGAGGGUCGAGAAAGGUCUCUCGCAACUAAAGCUAUGUUAUGGAGUCUCGCGAUUCUGAAGUCCCUGAAUCCAGUCGUGAUGCUCGGAAUAAACAAAGCGAGCAGUAUGCUUGUAAUGAGAGUCGACGGGCAGAGAGGAACUUGAGACGCCGAAAUGCUUACGCAACAAUGGAUCCUGCUAAGAAACGAAAAAUGCUAGAUGAUAUUAACGAAAAGCGUCGCAUCAAAAGUAAUGCAGCUAAAUCUACACUAACUCACGACGUCAAUGCUGAUUACUACAAAACGCAUUCAGAUGCUCGAUUUGUCCAACUUAUAUUGACCUUGAUCCGGUAUCAAUAUAAAGAAUUAAUGAUUACGGUUGUUCUCUCCAAGAUAUACAACAACACAACUCUCAGCAGCUAUGACUAUCAAUGGUUGUACCAGAAAGAUUAUGCACUGCGGCAGAAAUAACAUUCUACUUCAGUAACACCUUCACAACAUUAGGGAGUUCCAGUUAACUAAACCCCGGCAUAAAUUGUAAUUUGACUUCUUGGCAACCUGGUUGUGAGCCACGAUGCGCUUCUCCAGAAGUGUGCUUCUCCAGCAGUGUACCAAAACUGAAUUGUAAAAGAAUGGAAGGUAGAUUGCGCGUCUGUGUUAUAGGCUUACAAAUCAAUGAAAUCGACCCAUUCUGUCAAGACAAGAUUAUCUUGUAUGAACAAUGUGCAGAUAAAAGGGAUAAGGAGCUCAGACGAUGGAUUCAAAAUAGUGAGCAUAAAUUAGGCUUAUCAAUGCCUUUAGAUCUUGAUAAAG